UCAAACUUGGUCAUUUAGAGGAAGUAAAAGUCGUAACAAGGUUUCCGUAGGUGAACCUGCGGAAGGAUCAUUAUUGAAAAGCCUUGGAGUAUACUGUUGCUGGCCCUCUUAACAAGGGCAUGUGCACGUAUCUCUAAUCCUAUUCAUCCACCUGUGCACCUUUUGUAGAGGCUCUUGAGGAUCGAACUCCAAUAGGUCUUUGGACCUUGUAGUCGAUUCAAAAAGACCUCUAUGUUAUUUACAAACCGUUAUGUAUGUUUAGAAUGUUUGUUUUAUUGGGACUUGAUUGACCCUUUAAACUCUGUACAACUUUCAGCAACGGAUCUCUUGGCUCUCCCAUCGAUGAAGAACGCAGC
rnacentral:misc_RNA from 1 species